rnacentral:rRNA from 1 species
UUUUCCUACGGGGCGCAGCAGUGGGGAAUAUUGCACAAUGGGGGAAACCCUGAUGCAGCAACGCCGCGUGAGUGAAGAAGUAUUUCGGUAUGUAAAGCUCUAUCAGUAGGGAAGAAGAAAGACGGUACCUGACUAAGAAGCCCCGGCUAACUACGUGCCAGCAGCCGCGGUAAUAUGUAGGGGGCAAGCGUUAUCCGGAUUUACUGGGUGUAAAGGGAGCGCAGACGGCAGUGCAAGUCUGGAGUGAAAGCCCGGGGCCCAACCCCGGAACUGCUCUGGAAACUGUGCGGCUAGAGUACUGGAGG